AUGGUGUUCUCUGCAGCAGAGUUAUGUGAAGCUAUGGACAAGAAGGACAACAUUCGUAACGUGUCUAUUGUUGGUCAUCUGAGCCACGGCAAGUCUACACUUGCAGAUUCUCUUAUAGCGGCUGCUGGGAUUAUUGGACAGGAAGGUGCUGUUGAUGCUCGCAUGACUGAUACUCGUGCAGAUGAAGCAGAGCGUGGUAUUUCAAUCAAAUCCACUGGCAUCUCUCUUUUGUAUGAGAUGCAAGAUGAGUCACUCAAGGCUUACAAAGGUGAGAGAGAUGGCAACAGAUUCUUGAUGAACCUUAUUGACUCACCUGGGCAUGUUGAUUUUUCUGCGGAAGUCACAGCUGCUCUUCGUAUUACCGAUGGUGCUAUGGUAAUUGUUGACUGCAUCGAGGGUGUCUGUGUGCAAACUGAAACUGUGCUCCGCCAAGCCCUUGGUGAGAUGGUUAGGCCUGUGCUUUGUCUGAAUAAGAUGGACCAACUAUUCCCUGGGCUUCAAGGUGAAGGAGUGAAGCGUGAAUUGGAUGGUGAGCAGGUCUAUCAGAUUCUCAACAAUGUCAUUCAGAAUGCCAGUGACAUUGUUUCAGCAUGUGGAAAUGGAACUCCCCACCUUGGUGAUGUCCAAUUCUACCCUGACAAGGGAAAUGUGGCUUUCUCUGCUGGUAUACACGACUGGGCUUUUACACUUCCUACCUUUGCUAAGAUAUGUGCCCCAAUAUUAGGGAUGGAAGAAUCCCAAAUGGUUACGAAGCUGUGGGGCGACAACUUUUAUAACCACGUCACAAAGAAAUGGACCAAUGUGAAGACUGGCUCUAAAGCUUGUCAAAGAGGGUUCGUCACGUUCUGCUAUAAUACAAUUGAGAAGGUGAUACAAGCCUGCAUGGAUAACCAGAAAGAUGAAUUGUGGCGAAUGUUGCACAAGUUUGGCGUGAGCAUUAACGAUGAUGAUAAGAACUUAUCAGGCGUGGCUCUUGUGAAGCGUGUUAUGCAAACAUGGCUGCCAGCCAGCAGUGCUCUGUUUGAGAUGAUGAUAUUCCACCUCCCCUCGCCUCUGAAAGCACAAGAGUAUCGUGUGGAGAACUUGUAUGAGGGCCCCCUUGAUGACAUUUACGCUGAAGCUAUUAGAAAGUGUGACCCAGAAGGUCCUCUUAUGAUGUAUGUCUCCAAGAUGAUCCCAGCGUCUGACGUGGGCGGAUUCUUUGCAUUUGGUCGUGUCUUCUCAGGGAAGGUAGAAACUGGAAUGAAGGUGCGGAUCAUGGGGCCUUCCUAUGUCUCUGGUAUGAAAAGGGAUCUGUAUGUGAAGCGUGUUGAGCGUACUGUUAUAUGGAUGGGAAGGGACCAAGAUGGUGUUGGAUAUGCCUCUUGUGGUAACCUUGUUGGAAUGGUCGGUCUGGAUGAAUGCAUCAUAAAAGGUGCAACCCUGACGAGCCAAGAGGAGGUUGAUGCAUGCCCAAUCAGAGCAAUGAAAUUCUCUGUGUCCCCUGUUAUGUAUGUUACAGUUGAGUGCAAGCCUUUAUCAGAUAUUCCAAAAUUCACUCAAGGUAUGAAGCGCCUGGAAAAAUCUGAUCUUGUGGUUUUCUGUAGCCAAGUAGGGCAACGUACAUACACAGUUGCGGGAGCUGGAGAGCUUCACCUUGAAAUUUGCUUGAAUGAUCUGCGGGGAUGCUUCUUGGAUGGUGCUCAAGUUGAAGUUUCUGGUCCUAUGGUAUGUCUCUGUGAGACUGUUCUUGACAAGUCUUGCAAUGUGCAGAGCAAAUCCCGAAAUGGCCACAACAGUUUGACUAUGGUAGCCUGCCCAUUGGAUGAAAAAUUGGUCCAGGCUAUUGAUGAUGGUCUCUUGGGGCCAUGUACUGAUCAUAAGGUACGCUCGAAGAUCCUUGGUGAGUCAGGAUGGGAUGUGAGUCUCUCUGAUAAGAUUCUGUGCUUCGGACCUAACAACAGAGGCCCAAAUAUUGUUCUUGAUAUGUGCAAGGGAAGAAGCGAUCUCAAUUUACUGAAGGAAACUUUGGUGGAAUGCUUCCAGAUGGCAUCAGUAGAAGGUGCACUGAUCGCUGAAAGAAUGCGUGGUAUUUGCUUUGAAAUCCAUGAUGUUGUGCAGCACACUAGUGAAAAAUUUAGCCAUACAAAGAAUCAGCUCAUACCAAUGAUUAAGGAGGCCAUUAAUGACUGCCAACUUAAAGCAAAUCCUAGGCUUUUAGAGCCCGUAUAUAUGGUGGAGAUCCAGGCCCCUGAGAGUGCCUUGGAGAUCAUUUACGGCAUUCUUAACCAGAAGAUGUCCCACGUGUUCCAGCACUUUCAAAGAGAAGGCACUCAGCUUUUCAUCUUAAGGUCUUAUCUCAACGUUGGUGAAUCGUUUGGUUUCGCGGAAGAUUUCCGGGCUGCAACCUCAGGCGAGGUCACUCCACAGUGUGUCUUGGAUCACUGGGACACGUUGUCUUCAGAUCCUUUGAUGCGAAAUUCGCUCUCUUGGGGGAUGGUCUUGGACAUCCGCAAGGCCAAGAAGCUCAGCCCUCUGCAGUCCUGA
rnacentral:rRNA from 1 species